rnacentral:rRNA from 1 species
GACGAACGCUGGCGGCGUGCUUAACACAUGCAAGUCGAACGGAAAGGCCCUGCUUUUGUGGUGGGCUCGAGUGGCGAACGUGUGAGUAACACGUGAGUAACCUGCGCUUGACUUUGGGAUAACUUCAGUAAACUGGGGCUAAUACCGGAUAGGAGCGCCUGCUGCAUGGUGGGGGUUGGAAAGUUUCGGCGGUUGGGGAUGGACUCGCGGCUUAUCAGCUUGUUGGUGGGGUAGUGGCUUACGAAGGCUUUGACGGGUAGCCGGCCUGAGAGGGUGACCGGCCAGAUUGGGACUGAGCUAACGCCCAGACUCCUACGGGAGGCAGCAGUGGGGAAUAUUGCACAAUGGGCGGAAGCCUGAUGCAGCAACGCCGCGUGCGGGAUGACGGCCUUCGGGUUGUAGCCCGCAUUCGCCUGUGACGAAGCGUGAGUGACGGUAAUGGGUAAAGAAGCACCGGCUAACUACGUG